UGGAUUAGUGGCGAACGGGUGAGGAACACGUGAAGAAUCUGCCCUCCACUUUGGGAUAACUCCGGGAAACCGGGGCUAAUACCGAAUAUUGAAACAUAAGUGGCAUCACUGAGUUUUGAAAGAAUUUCGGUGGAGGAUGACUUCGCGGCCUAUCAGCUAGUUGGUGAGGUAAUGGCUCACCAAGGCAACGACGGGUAGCCGGCCUGAGAGGGCGACCGGCCACACUGGGACUGAGACACGGCCCAGACUCC
rnacentral:rRNA from 1 species